CAGAGUUGCAAAACUCCCAAACCCAUGUGAACAUACCUGUUGCCUCGGCGGUCUACCCUGUAGCUACCCUGUAGUUACCCUGUGGCCCGCCGAAGGACCACUGAAACUCUUGUUUUUAUGUCUCUCUGAGUAAAAUCAUAAUAAGUUA
rnacentral:misc_RNA from 1 species